GAGGGCGUGUGAGGGGCGGGGUUUAAGUGGACGCAGCAAGCAGCUUUGCGUCUUGACGUCACGAAGACCUUAUAUACUCGACUCAGCCGCCAUCUCAGCCUUUCGGAGCUGUGCGGCAUUCUGAGCAGGAAUGGCAGUGUGGACCUCUGUGAUGGGACAUCUUGUGGGAUCUCACAGCCAGUUCUGUGGCAAAGGAGGAUGAAGGCUUACGAGGACUCGUCAGGAAGCUGGAUAACAGAGCGAGCGCAAUGUGCUAGAAUAGAAGACCAGAAAAUGAAAUGGUGGAGUUUGAGGCUGGAUAGACAGUUUGAAAGGUACAAAUAAUGGUUUGAAUAAAGAAAGGUAUUAAUGGGUCACCUCAAGUGAAGGCACUGCAAACACAAUGAUUGGUCAUUCUGAAUUUCCGGUCCUUCAUUCUGAAUUUCAAAGGCUCCUGUGACAAGUGGACAUGCAGUGACUGCACCUUUGUUUCUGAGGUGCCUGGAUGGAGGCUCAAAUAGAAGAUGGUGUCAGAUAUAUUGUGUUAAAAUUUUACCAUUAAAGUGUAUUAUAACAUG
ensembl:processed_transcript Gas5 growth arrest specific 5